UUAAAGGUUUUAAUCAAAACCACACAAGAAACAUAAAUCAUGGCA
rfam:Poecilia formosa, whole genome shotgun sequence.